rnacentral:rRNA from 1 species
AUUGAACGCUGGCGGCAUGCCUUACACAUGCAAGUCGAACGGCAGCGGGGGAGAAGCUUGCUUUUCCUGCCGGCGAGUGGCGACCGGGUGAGUAAUACAUCGGAACGUGCCCUGUAGUGGGGGAUAACUAGUCGAAAGAUUAGCUAAUACCGCAUACGACCUGAGGGUGAAAGUGGGGGACCGCAAGGCCUCAUGCUAUAGGAGCGGCCGAUGUCUGAUUAGCUAGUUGGUGGGGUAAAGGCCUACCAAGGCGACGAUCAGUAGCUGGUCUGAGAGGACGAUCAGCCACACUGGGACUGAGACACGGCCCAGACUCCUACAGGAGGCAGCAGUGGGGAAUUUUGGACAAUGGGCGAAAGCCUGAUCCAGCAAUGCCGCGUGUGUGAAGAAGGCCUUCGGGUUGUAAAGCACUUUUGUCCGGAAAGAAAUGGCUCUGGUUAAUACCUGGGGUCGAUGACGGUACCGGAAGAAUAAGGACCGGCUAACUACGUGCCAGCAGCCGCCGUAA